rnacentral:rRNA from 1 species
AUCCCCACACGGGGAAUGAACCCCGCCCAGAUUCCUAGGGGGGCACCAGUGGGAAUUUUGGACAAUGGGGGAACCCUGAUCCCAGCCCUGCCGGGUGGUUGAAGAAGCCCUUAUGGUUGUAAAGCACUUUAAGCGAGGAGGAGGCUACUUUAGUUAAUACCUAGAGAUAGUGGACGUUACUCGCAGAAUAAGCACCGGCUAACUCUGUGCCAGCAGCCGCGGUAAUACAGAGGGUGCGAGCGUUAAUCGGAUUUACUGGGCGUAAAGCGUGCGUAGGCGGCUUAUUAAGUCGGAUGUGAAAUCCCCGAGCUUAACUUGGGAAUUGCAUUCGAUACUGGUGAGCUAGAGUAUGGGAGAGGAUGGUAGAAUUCCAGGUGUAGCGGUGAAAUGCGUAGAGAUCUGGAGGAAUACCGAUGGCGAAGGCAGCCAUCUGGCCUAAUACUGACGCUGAGGUACGAAAGCAUGGGGAGCAAACAGGAUUAGAUACCCUGGUAGUCCAUGCCGUAAACGAUGUCUACUAGCCGUUGGGGCCUUUGAGGCUUUAGUGGCGCAGCUAACGCGAUAAGUAGACCGCCUGGGGAGUACGGUCGCAAGACUAAAACUCAAAUGAAUUGACGGGGGCCCGCACAAGCGGUGGAGCAUGUGGUUUAAUUCGAUGCAACGCGAAGAACCUUACCUGGCCUUGACAUACUAGAAACUUUCCAGAGAUGGAUUGGUGCCUUCGGGAAUCUAGAUACAGGUGCUGCAUGGCUGUCGUCAGCUCGUGUCGUGAGAUGUUGGGUUAAGUCCCGCAACGAGCGCAACCCUUUUCCUUACUUGCCAGCAUUUCGGAUGGGAACUUUAAGGAUACUGCCAGUGACAAACUGGAGGAAGGCGGGGACGACGUCAAGUCAUCAUGGCCCUUACGGCCAGGGCUACACACGUGCUACAAUGGUCGGUACAAAGGGUUGCUACACAGCGAUGUGAUGCUAAUCUCAAAAAGCCGAUCGUAGUCCGGAUUGGAGUCUGCAACUCGACUCCAUGAAGUCGGAAUCGCUAGUAAUCGCGGAUCAGAAUGCCGCGGUGAAUACGUUCCCGGGCCUUGUACACACCGCCCGUCACACCAUGGGAGUUUGUUGCACCAGAAGUAGCUAGCCUAACUGCAAAGAGGGCGGUUACCACGGUGGGCCAGAUGACUGGGGUGAAGGUCGCCACCCCCAG